AGUGAACGCUGGCGGUAGGCCUAACACAUGCAAGUCGAACGGCAGCACAGGAGAGCUUGCUCUCUAGGUGGCGAGUGGCGGACGGGUGAGGAAUACAUCGGAAUCUGCCCAGUCGUGGGGGAUAACGUAGGGAAACUUACGCUAAUACCGCAUACGACCUUCGGGUGAAAGAGGGGGAUCGCAAGACCUCUCGCGAUUGGAUGAGCCGAUGUCGGAUUAGCUAGUUAGCGGGGUAAUGGCCCACCAAGGCGACGAUCCGUAGCUGGUCUGAGAGGAUGAUCGGCCAAGCGGGAACGGGGAAACGGUCCAGACUCCUACGGGAGGCAGCAGGGGGGAAUAUUGGAAAAGGGGCGAAAGCCUGAUCCCGCCAUACCGGGGGGGUGAAGAAGGCCUUCGGGGUGUAAAGCCCUUUUGUUGGGAAAAAAAUUUUUCAGGCUAAACCCCUGGGGGGAUGACGGAACCAAAAAAAAAAGCACCGGCUACCUUCGU
rnacentral:rRNA from 1 species